CUAUGAGAACAUUCUACUCGCGCCUACAUUAUCCGAACCCCCAGGAAGAUGGCAACGUCGAGUCGCCAAGCCAAAGGCCGCUCUAUCUCGCCUUUGUUCUCCUCUCGGUGGCUACUGCGCAGGCGCAAUAACCCAAGUCCCGUCCCCGCCUUCCCUGUCGCGGGCCCAGCUCUGUAGCGCCGGCGCACUGGCGCGCUCCGUUUAUACGCUCUGGGGCCUGUAGGCGCCGCGAGUUCCGGCUGUCGCCGUCGCCGUCGCGGCUCUUGGAGGUCGGUUGCGACGAGUAACGGCGCCAGGACAAGCCCUGCGCCUUCUUCUCGGAUAUGUACCCGAAUUGGGGCCGGUAUGGCGGGAGCAGCCACUACCCGCCGCCGCCGGUCCCUCCGCCGCCGCCGGUGGCGCUUCCUGAGGCCUCGCCGGGGCCCGGGUACUCGAGCUCGACGACUCCCGCGGCCCCCUCUUCCUCGGGCUUCAUGAGCUUCCGCGAGCAGCACUUGGCGCAGCUCCAGCAGCUGCAGCAAAUGCACCAGAAGCAAAUGCAGUGCGUGCUCCAGCCCCACCACCUUCCUCCGCCCCCCUUGCCACCCCCGCCGGUGAUGCCGGGGGGCGGCUACGGAGACUGGCAACCGCCGCCGCCACCGAUGCCCCCACCACCUGGGCCGGUCCUCAGCUAUCAGAAGCAGCAGCAGUACAAACACCAGAUGCUCCACCACCAACGAGACGGGCCUCCUGGUUUGGUUCCAAUGGAGUUGGAUUCUCCCCCUGAAUCUCCCCCUGUACCGCCCGGGUCUUAUAUGCCCCCAUCUCAAUCUUACAUGCCCCCCCCUCAGCCGCCACCCUCGUACUACCCCCCUUCCUCAUCUCAGCCCUACCUGCCUCCUGCUCAGCCAUCCCCUUCACAGUCCCCACCUUCCCAGUCUUACCUGGCGCCCACGCCUUCUUAUUCUUCCUCCUCUUCUUCACAAUCCUAUAUGAGCCAUUCCCAGCCCUACUUGCCCUCUUCUCAGGCAUCUCCUUCGCGCCCCUCCCAGGGCCAUUCUAAAUCUCAACUAUUAGCUCCUCCACCACCGUCAGCCACCUCUGGGAAUAAAACAACUGUCCAGCAAGAGCCUUUGGAAAGUGGGACCAAGAACAGGAGUGCUGAACAGCAGCAAGCCACCCCUGAGCCAGAUCCCUCUAUGAUGACUCCACAGGAACAGCAGCAGUAUUGGUAUCGACAGCACUUGCUUAGUUUGCAGCAGAGGACAAAAGUGCACUUGCCAGGACACAAAAAGGGUCCUGUCAUAGCAAAGGAUGCCCCAGAGCCAGUAAAAGAAGAAGUUACGGUACCUGCCACCAGUCAAAUUUCAGAACCCCCUUCAUCUGAGGAGCCCCCAUUACCACCUCCAAAUGAGGAGGUACCACCUCCUCUCCCACCUGAGGAACCCCAGUCUGAGGACCCAGAAGAAGAUGCCAGGUUAAAACAGUUGCAGGCUGCAGCAGCACACUGGCAGCAGCACCAGCAACAUCGAGUUGGUUUCCAGUAUCAGGGAAUAAUGCAGAAGCACACUCAGUUACAGCAGAUCCUACAGCAGUACCAGCAGAUUAUACAGCACCCACCACAUAUCCAGACCAUGUCUGUAGAUAUGCAGCUGCGGCAUUAUGAGAUGCAGCAGCAACAGUUUCAACAUCUUUACCAAGAAUGGGAGCGAGAGUUUCAGCUGUGGGAGGAACAGCUCCAUUCCUAUCCUCAUAAAGAUCAGCUUCAGGAAUAUGAGAAGCAGUGGAAAACAUGGCAGGGACAUAUGAAAGCCACUCAGACUUAUCUCCAGGAGAAAGUCAGUUCAUUCCAGAACAUGAAGAACCAGUAUAUGGGAAACAUGUCAAUGCCACCUCCUUUUGUUCCAUAUUCUCAGAUGCCUCCACCUCUACCAACAAUGCCCCCUCCAGUAUUGCCUCCAUCAUUGCCACCACCAGUGAUGCCCCCUGCCCUCCCUGCUACAGUGCCACCACCUGGCAUGCCCCCACCUGUGAUGCCACCUUCUCUACCCACCUCUGUACCCCCACCAGGGAUGCCUCCAUCUCUUUCUUCAACAGGGCCACCACCAGUUCUUCCCCCACCUUCCCUUUCUUCUGCAGGGCCACCUCCAGUUCUUCCCCCACCAUCUCUCUCUUCAACAGCACCUCCACCUGUCUUGCCCCUUCCACCACUAUCUUCAGCCACACCUCCUCCAGGAAUACCUCCUCCUGGAGUUCCACAAGGGAUACCUCCUCCGUUAACAGCAGCCCCAGUUCCACCAGCUUCCGGUUCUCAGAGCUCACAAGUCCCAGAGAAACCUAGACCAGCACUGCUUCCCACUCCUGUGUCUUUUGGUCCUGCCCCACCCUCAACUUACCAUCCUCCAUUGCAAUCAGCUGUUGGUCCAUCAGAACAAGUGACUUCUAAAACUCCUCUGAGCAAGUCUACUCUGCCAUACGGUUCAUUCUCAUCUGAGCAAGGACUUGGGGAAUCUUCAGCUGCUCCAUCUCAACCAAUCACUGCAGUUAAGGACAUGCCAGUGAGGUCAGGUGGCCUGCUUCCAGAUCCUCCUAGAAGCAGUUACUUGGAAGGUCCAAGAGGCCCAAGAUUUGAUGGUCCUCGAAGAUUUGAGGAUUUAGGGUCAAGGUGUGAAGGACCGAGACCCAAAGGGCCUCGUUUUGAAGGAAAUCGCCCCGAUGGGCCAAGACCCAGAUAUGAAGGUCACCCAGCAGAGGGCACUAAAAGCAAAUGGGGAAUGAUUCCCCGGGGGCCAGCAUCUCAAUUUUAUAUUACCCCCAAUACAUCCCUAAGUCCUCGGCAGAGUGGACCACAGUGGAAAGGCCCCAAACCAACUUUUGGACAGCAGCAUCAGCAGCAACCUAAGUCACAAGCAGAACCUCUUUCAGGAAACAAAGAACCGUUAGCAGACACCAGUAGUAACCAGCAGAAGAAUUUUAAAAUGCAAUCAGCUGCAUUUUCCAUUGCUGCAGAUGUAAAGGAUGUCAAGGCGGCUCAAUCAAAUGAGAAUCUAAGCGACUCUCAACAAGAGCCACCUAAAAGCGAAGUCUCGGAAGGGCCCAUAGAGCCUUCUAAUUGGGACCAGAAUUCUCAAAGUAUGGAGACUCAAAUCGACAAAGCCCAAGCUGUUACUCAGCCUGUACCCCUUGCAAAUAAACCUGUACCUGCUCAAUCUACUUUUCCUUCAAAAACAGGGGGGAUGGAGGGUGGACCAGCAGUAACCACAUCAUCAUCAUUAACUGCAGAUAAUGAUUUUAAACCUAUGGGUAUUGGUCUGCCCCAUUCAGAAAACAAUCAAGAUAAAGGGCUACCUCGGCCAGAUAAUAGAGAUAAUAGAUUAGAAGGCAAUCGAGGCAGCAGCUCAUCUUAUAGAGGUCCUGGGCAAAGCAGAAUGGAAGACACACGGGAUAAAGGACUAGUAAACAGAGGUCGUGGCCAGGCAAUCAGCCGAGGCCCAGGGUUGAUCAAGCAAGAAGACUUUCGUGAUAAGAUGAUAGGUAGAAGAGAAGAUAGUCGAGAGAAGAUGAGCAGAGGAGAAGGUAGCCGGGACAGAGGGUUGGUGAGGCCUGGAAGCAGUCAGGAGAAAGUGCCAGGUGGUCUGCAAGGAAGCCAGGACAGAGGUAGAGCUGGCAGCCGAGAAAGGGGACCUCCUCGGAGAGCUGGCAGUCAGGAGAGAGGACCCCCUCGAAGGGCAGGGAGUAGGGAGCGAGUACCACCCCGAAGAGCUGGGAGCAGGGAGAGGGGACCACCUCGAGUGCCUGGCAGUCGGGAAAGGGGCCUGGGAAGAUCAGAUUUUGGUCGUGAUAGAGGUCCAUUCAGACCAGAACCAGGAGAUGGUGGGGAAAAAAUGUAUCCAUAUCACCGAGAUGAACCUCCUAGGACUCCAUGGAACCAUGGAGAAGAGAGAGGGCAUGAAGAGUUCCCAUUAGAUGGUAGAAGUGCUCCAAUGGAACGAGAAAGACUUGAUGAUUGGGAUAGAGAGAGAUACUGGAGAGAGUGUGAACGUGACUAUCAAGAUGAUACACUAGAUCCAUAUAACAGAGAGGACAGGUUCUCAGCACCACCACGGUCUCAUGAUGGAGAUAGGCGAGGCCCUUGGUGGGAUGAUUGGGACAGAGAUCAGGAUAUGGAUGAGGACUACAAUAGGGAAAUGGACAGGGAUUUGGACUGGGAUGUGGAUCGGAUUGGAAGACCCAUGGAUAUGUAUGAUAGAAUUUUGGAUAAUGAGUGGGACAGAGAUUAUGGGAGACCACUGGAUGAACAAGAAUCACAGUUUCGUGAACAGGAUAUUCCAUCUCUUCCACCUUUACCACCCCUCCCACCUCUUCCACCUCUGGAUAGAUAUCGGGAUGAUAGAUGGAGAGAAGAAAGAAAUCGAGACCAUGGGUAUGAUCGAGAUUUCCGUGAUAGGGGUGAGUUGAGGAUUCGAGAGUAUCCAGAAAGAGGAGAUACGUGGCGGGAAAAGCGAGAUUAUGUUCCUGACAGAAUGGACUGGGAAAGAGAACGGUUGUCAGACAGAUGGUACCCAUCUGAUGUGGAUAGACAUUCCCCCAUGGCGGAACAUAUGCCCUCCUCACAUCAUUCCUCUGAAAUGAUGGGGUCCGAUGCAAACUUAGACUCUGACCAAGGCCUUGGAGGGGUAAUGGUUCUCAGUCAGAGGCAGCACGAAAUCAUUUUGAAAGCUGCACAAGAACUGAAAAUGCUUCGGGAACAGAAAGAACAACUCCAAAAGAUGAAAGACUUUGGGUCUGAGCCACAGAUGGCUGACCAUCUACCACCCCAAGAAUCGAGGUUGCAGAAUACAUCUUCAAGACCUGGAAUGUAUCCGCCUCCAGGGUCCUAUAGACCACCCCCUCCUAUGGGUAAACCACCAGGUUCAAUUAUGAGACCCUCUGCUCCACUGCCAAGAUCAUCUGUUCCUAUGACCAGGCCACCUGUCCCAAUACCACCACCUCCACCUCCUCCUCCUCCACCUCCUCCUCCUCCGGUGAUAAAGCCACAAACUUCAGCUGUGGAACAGGAACGCUGGGAUGAAGAUUCUUUCUAUGGUCUCUGGGAUACAAAUGAUGAACAAGGACUGAAUUCAGAAUUUAAAUCAGAAACUGCAACAAUUCCAUCUGUUCCAGUAUUACCACCCCCACCUGUUCACUCUUCUAUUCCCCCUCCUGGCCCAUUGCCUAUGGGUAUGCCACCAAUGUCCAAACCACCACCAGUGCAGCAGACUGUUGAUUAUGGCCAUGGCCGAGAUAUAGCCACUAAUAAAGUUGAACAGAUACCAUAUGGAGAAAGAAUAACUCUCCGCCCAGACCCACUACCUGAAAGAUCAACUUUUGAGACAGAGCAUACAGGCCAACGCGAUCGCUAUGAUAGAGACCGAGACCGUGAGCCUUAUUUUGAUCGUCAAAGUAAUAUUAUAGCAGAUCAUCGAGAUUUUAAAAGGGAUCGUGAGACACACAGAGAUCGAGACCGGGAUCGUGGUGUUAUUGACUAUGACCGAGAUCGAUUUGACAGAGAACGCCGACCCCGAGAUGAUAGGGCUCAGUCAUAUAGAGACAAAAAAGAUCAUCCUCAUCCAGAAGAGGGGGUUUGAUAGGCCAUCUUAUGACCGGAAAUCUGACCGACCAGCCUACGAAGGGCCAUCCAUGUUUGGAGGAGAACGAAGAACUUAUCCAGAGGAACGUAUGCCCCUGCCAGCUCCUUCACUAAGCCACCAGCCCCCUCCAGCUCCACGGGUUGAGAAAAAGCCUGAAUCGAAAAAUGUAGAUGAUAUUUUGAAACCACCAGGCCGGGAGAGCAGACCUGAGAGAAUUGUUGUUAUAAUGAGAGGAUUGCCUGGCAGUGGGAAGACACACGUUGCAAAACUUAUUCGAGAUAAAGAGGUAGAAUUUGGAGGACCUGCACCCAGAGUUUUAAGUCUGGAUGAUUACUUCAUCACUGAAGUGGAAAAA